CCCUUAGAUGUUCUGGGCCGCACGCGCGCUACACUGAUGCAUUCAACGAGUCUAAAACCUGCUCUGAUAGGGGUGGGUAAUCUUUUGAAUGUGCAUCGUGAUUGGGAUAGAUGAUUGCAAUUUUUCAUCUUCAACGGGGAAUGCCUAGUAAACGCAAGUCAUCAGCUUGCAUUGAUUACGUCCCUGCCCUUUGUACACACCGCCCGUCGCUCCUACCGAUUGAAUGAUCCGAUGAAUAUCAUGGAUUGAGGAUGCAAGUAGGUUAGCCUAUCUUCAUCUUCGAGAAGUGAAGUAAAUCUUAUCAUUUAGAGGAAGGAGAAGUCGUAACA
rnacentral:rRNA from 1 species